GCAUCAUACACUUAAACUGGUAUGUUCAUUGAAAACCUUCUGUGCAACUAAAGCUCUUUAAAGAAAAUGAAAGAAAUCUAUGGGACUAAUUGGGGAGAAAACUGUGCAAGCCACAUCUAUUAUAUGGUUGGAGACAGAAAGAGAUUCCAAGUCUUCCUCAGAACUGCCUGGAAGCUUGGAUUGGUGAGGAAGCCUGGGAGAACUGUACUAAUCAGAAGAGAAAAGGCCAAAAGGUGUGUGUGGGCGGGGGGUGGGGAGGAGAGGGGGAAGGAAAGAAAAUUCCUGUGGGUAGACUGGAAAUGAGGCCAUAUGAACCACUUUCCUUCCUCAUCCUUUUCCUUCUUUAUGGCACAAACCACUUUAACACCAAAAAUUCCCUGAUGAGGGGCUCCUAACCAGUCUCUGCCUGCAGACUUGGCUUUCUUAAAAUAAUUCUAAAUAACAUCACAGAGCUUGAAUUCCUAAAAAGACUCCUUAAGUCUUAAAAUCCCCACACUAAAGCAGAAGUUAAGAACUCUAAAUCACCUUCUGGAUUAAGUUCCUACUUCAGACUAGGAAUCGAGGCCUUCAAUGCCGUUCAAGUCAGUAUUAACUGUCAGGUUUAUGUAAACAGUGGAAGGCACAAGAGUAGCAGUGUAGUAGGAACACAUGAAUCCAUGGGACAAGGAAGACAUCAGCCAGUGAAGCGUUCGAGGGUGGGUUAAAAUUCAGUCACAACUAGAGGGGAGUUAGAUACCUCAGUUUCAGAAGGAAAUGGUCUUCCCAGGCACUGAAGGGAGAAAAUAACCUCAAAGAGCAGAGGUAGGUGGGAUAAAUAUUUUCAAAUGGGAGAAUAGGACAAAAUAGAUAAGAUAUGCUCAAGG